rnacentral:rRNA from 1 species
UAGAGUUUGAUCCUGGCUCAGAUUGAACGCUGGCGGAAUGCUUUACACAUGCAAGUCGAGCGGCAGCGCGGGGCAACCUGGCGGCGAGCGGCGAACGGGUGAGUAAUGCAUCGGAACGUACCCAGUCGUGGGGGAUAACUAUCCGAAAGGAUAGCUAAUACCGCAUACGUCCUGAGGGAGAAAGUGGGGGACCGCAAGGCCUCACGCGAUUGGAGCGGCCGAUGUUCGAUUAGCUAGUUGGUGAGGUAAAGGCUCACCAAGGCGACGAUCGAUAGCUGGUCUGAGAGGAUGAUCAGCCACACUGGGACUGAGACACGGCCCAGACUCCUACGGGAGGCAGCAGUGGGGAAUUUUGGACAAUGGGGGCAACCCUGAUCCAGCCAUUCCGCGUGAGUGAAGAAGGCCUUCGGGUUGUAAAGCUCUUUCGGCAGGAACGAAACGGUGCGGGUUAAUACCCUGCAUCAAUGACGGUACCUGAAGAAGAAGCACCGGCUAACUACGUGCCAGCAGCCCCGGUCAG